rnacentral:tRNA from 1 species
GUUUAAUUAGUAUAAUAAAGUACACUUAAUUUCCAAUUAAAAAGUUUUACCAAAUAAAUUAAACA